GAAGAAUUAGAAGCACAUAAAUCUAUCUGCGCAGUAACAUACACAAUUCUUGCUAGUAUACUACUACUUAGUAAUUAUUUCAACCUAGAGAAUGAAGGGUGAAACAAUCCUAGCAGCAAUUGAACAACUAAGCUAAUGGAUCUUGAACAAAGUGGAAGCAACUACGUACAAUAUCACCGGAAAAUCAAUUUGGGAAGUCGUAAGAGCCCUAAAAGUUCAUACUGUGAGACUCGCUAUGCAGAAUAGAUCUAAUAUCUAAAGAAACCAUUGCAAUGAUCAAGUGGAUCUUGAGUUAAGCAUCACUCUUCAUCAUCAGAAUCAGAAGUGUCAUAUUGUUGUCUUCGUUCUUCAAUUGCACCACUCACGUGCCUUCGCUCAGGGUGAAUAAAACCUGAAGCAAACUGGUUGGCUGAUACGAAGGUCCUCAUCAGAAGUGCUCUCACGAAUUUGAUUUCAGCUUGAUGCAUGCUAACAAACUUGGACAUUUGACCAUACAAAAAUCCAACUACUUGGUCCAGCCUGGCUUGAUGCUUCAAGAGGAAAGGACGAAGGUGAGUCAUAUACAUUUGCCUUGCCCCAUCAGUAGUAGGCAGUUGAAGCCAAACAAGAAAUGCAAACUUC
rnacentral:misc_RNA from 1 species